CUCGGAUCAAAAUGAAACAAACACAUGACGCAGCUUGACCUGCCAACAAAAUGGGAAGAAGUCAACCUUGUCAAUAAACUUGACCCUUUUUCCAUGGAUUUGUUUGUCUAAAAAUAAGAAACAGGCAUCUGCAAUAAACACCUCUUUCCAUUACAUUGAUUGUAACACAACACAAUACCAGACCUCUCAACACAAGGAACAAGGCACACCAACUCGCCACAACCAAACCUGACACAGACACAACAAGAGUCUGACCUAGCACAGGAGGAUUACAAGCCUGAACACUGUACUUGGGACAACUCACAGUUUCCAUUGAACACAUGCUAUCUAGGCCAGCUGCCUCUCAGGAGUAUUCUGAGCCAUGAAGGUGGGAGAGGAAAAGUUGGCCCACUACCCUAUGGAUAUCAUGUGAAGCUCCCAGAAAUAUUCCAGAUGGUUGGAUUGGAAGCCCUGUCUACAUCUACUGACAGAGGAGUGGAGAAGUCUUAGUGGGGGAGUUUAACCGGAGAGCGAAACUUUGACACUCUUUUUGCCUUUGGAAAACUGUAAGAGCUUGUAAGAAAGAUCCAACAUGGCAGUUGCCAGCAUAUCUAUCCCUGGUUCCACGCCGGGCCACAAACUGGGGUUUGAUGACUACAGUCUCUACAACAACCUGUCAGAUAACGAGCUGAUUCUGCUGGCUAUCGAACGCAGCCUCAGUGAUGCCCACAAUGCCACUUCACCCAGUGAAGCCAGCAAUACCCCAACAGCUCUAGGCAGAAGAACAGUCCAGUAUAGGUCAAAUCCAUCCCCAACCAGGCCAAACCCACCGAGGCAGGAACCAAGACAUAGGCAGCCUACUGCCAACCCAACUGACGCGGAACAGGACACUAUUGUGCAAGCAGUCCUGAAUGGUGAUGUGACUACGGUUCAAGCUAUGGCUAAAAACAAUGCGAAUAACAUACUGUGGCCUGACAAGUAUGGAUGGAUCCCGCUGCACGAGGCUGCAUAUUAUGGCCAAGACCAGUGUGUCAGGGUUCUUCUUGGGGCUCAACCUAGUAUGAUUAACAAGUGUGACCUGAAAGGCCAGACUGCUCUCAUCUUGGCGGUGUACAGGGAAAAGGUGGCCUGUGUAGAGAUGCUUCUGGAGAAGGGGGCUGACCCAGACCUCGCCAACAAGGACAGAGAGACCCCACUCUACAAAGCUUGUGAAAGUGGUAAUGCUGAGAUUGUGGUCAUGCUUCUGAAUCACGGUGCUGUGGUGAACAAACACUGCAUUCAGGGCUGUACAGCUCUCCAGGAGGCUGUGAGCCGCAACAACGUGGAGAUCUGUGAGAUCUUGGUCCAGGCCGGGGCGAAGCUCAGCCCAACCAACAUGUACGGUAUCGCGCCCCUAUUUACUGCAGCCCAGAGUGGACACGAGGAAACACUUCGAUUUCUCAUUAAACACGGUGCUGAUAUCAACAGUGAGGCAAGUGAUGGGGCCACCGCUCUGUAUGAAGCGGCUAAGAAUGGCCAUGAGGACAUUGUGGAGCUUCUUCUUUCUCAGGAUGCUGAUGCCAACAAAGCGGGCAAUAAAGGACUUCUGCCACUACAUAUUGCUGCCCAACGAGGAGCUGAUGGUAUCGUGUCAUUGCUGAUCAAAGUCACCAGCAAGUACAGAGUGAAUCGCAGUGGAGUCAGUCCCCUCCACCUGGCUGCCGAGUGCAACAGGGACGCAGUUGUGGAGAUCCUGAUUGAGGCCGGCUAUGACGUCAAUGCCAUGCUGUCAGAUGACCGCUCCAUGAUGUACGAGGACCAUCGUAGCACGACUCUCUACUUCGCCAUCGCCAAUGGCAAUGUGGACGCAGCCACCAUGCUUCUAGAUGCCGGCGCCAUCCCAAACCUGGACACCUUCAACCCGCUACUGGUAGCAUUGAGGCAGGGUAGUAUCGAAUUGGUCACUUUGCUGGUGGAGCACGGUGCCAAUGUCAACGCCUACGUACCCACUCACCCCACCUCGUUCCCGGCCACCCUCAUAUUCGGUAUGAAGUACCUGUCCAUGCUGAAGUAUCUGAUGGACAAUGGCUGCGAUGCCCUCUCCUGUUUUAGUUGCACUUAUGGCAGUGGUCCACACCCACCACAUCAGGAGACCUCUGAGAGGGAUGACUUGCGCUACAAUACCAAUACACUCAGAAACACUGGGGAACCUGUUCAGGGGGAUUUUUAAUGACCACAGAGAGUCAGGUCACCCGUUUAACAUCCCAUCCGAAAGACAGCACUCUGAACAGGGAAAUGGCCCGUUCACUGCCCUGGGAUUCGAUCUUAAGACCGGAGGCCAGAGUGCCCCCUACUGGUCCUACAACACCACUUCCAGCAGCAUCUGGUCUCCCAUCCAGGACUCACCCUGCUUUGCUUCAGAGGCAAGCCAGCAGUGGGAUGCAGGGUGGUAUGCUGUCGGCAACAGUUGUAAGUACUAUGUAACAAUGGCAAGAAAGUGUAUCCAAACGCGCUUUAGCCCAGCUUGAACAAAAAAGGUAAUCAGUUCCUAGACUGAGGGACUUGAAAAUCCCAAAAAACAUUCCUUACCCCAGGACACUUCACCGGGUUGAAAUAAAGAAAAAGGAGCACUCUGUUUCAUAAUAUGUAUCGUCAAUAAACGAUCAGAUCUAUCACUCAUUGAAGUGUCCUGUGGUAAGGAAUGAUUUUUUGAUUUACUAUGUAAUAAUGUUUACCUACACUGUAAUCACCUAUAAUUGUUAUGCUGUCAUGUUAGCACAUAGGUAUUUGGGACACUUCUUGUAAAGUAGAGACUAAAAAAUACAAUAUACCAUAGCCUAUCAUUGCUUUUUGUGUUUCCAUCAUUAGUUCUGUGAGGUAAUCUCUACACGCUGGGCAGGACCCAUCAUAGAUGUACUCUUGAAUUACGUUGGCCAUGUGAAACUCUGCUCCAGACUUACUGAGCACCUAGAUAGCUUGGCGGACUGGGAAGUCAUCAAGGAGAAAGCAAGGCAUUCACGUCCACUGAUGCAGCUGUGCAGGCUGAAGAUUCGCCAGCAGGUUGGAAUCCACAGACUGAGGUGCAUCAAAAAACUGCCCCUCCCACCACGACUAAUCAAGUACCUCAACCACGAAGAGCGCAACCAAGAAAAUGUUUUGUGAAUAAUAGUCUGUGACAUUAUAGUCAAAGUAAGAGAUGAUGAGGGACUACAGCACAAAAUCUCUUGACAUAAUCAGUGUUUUGGUGUGAAUCUUUUUACUCAUAUUUGAGCAGUAAUAUAGAGCAGUGCUUACCAACAUGAGGUACUGCAAGUGGUUCUCAAUUUAUUUUAUUAUUAUUUUAUAUUUUUCUUCCAAACAUAAUACCAUAGGGGAUAGAUAGUAUAGUAUAGUAUAGUAUAUGGUAUUAUAAGCAAUUGUACAUUAAUUUUUACAAUGCAAAUUGUGUUGCCCCUUAAAUGACAGAUUUGGACACUGAUAAACACACCGAGUGGCUGUACAGUAACAUGCUAUAGAUUACAUUUCAUUACUUUACUUCUAAUUGUUUGGGACACCUGGGACCAUCAAGUGACAAAAACCUCCAGGGGACCAUGACACAAUGUCCCAAGAACAUCCUAAAAACAUCCUUGGGGACGACAGGAGGCUGACACAACGGCCCAAGAAUUACCUAAAAAACGUAAUUGGGGAUGUCCCGGGACAAACCGGGAACCAAACAAAACCUCCAGGGGACCAUGACACAACAUCCUGACCACUUUAGGCGUCCAUUUCAUGAUGAUCCGGGGACAUUCUAACGACAAGUUUUUUGUUUGCAGGGUUAAUGUGAGAAGGAGGGGCUGCAGGGCUCAACGGCACAGCUAGGAGCUCUUCUUUGAGUCAUAAAAGUGCAUUGAAAUGAUUUAGGAACUGUGCACACUUUGGAGAGGUGUGUGGCCACUUGGAAACACCAGUUUGACCUCUCACUUAAACCCUUGUAUUUUUUUUGUCUUGUGUUGCUCCCAAAUUUUCCACAAAUAUUCUUGUCACGUUACUGAAUGUAUCCAGAGUAUUUUCAGAUUUUGUUAAUAACAAAUGCUGCGACAAGUAUGGCAAAUGUAAAAUGCACAUAAAAUGCAAUGUUUGGA